rnacentral:lncRNA from 1 species
UGGCUACAUCCCUAUCUCCUCGUCCACCUCUCCAGACUUCUCUUAUAUGUCUUCUCUUGUUUCUGAGUCCUCAACUCGAGAAAAAUUUCCCCUCAAAACCCUCAAAUGAGGGUUUAUUUUUGCUGCUCUUUUGUCCCACCAGGUCAGCCCAGAAUGUUACUCUUUUCACAGCCCCAAUCCAUAUCAAGAUGUCCUCCUAAUCUGCAUGAAUGGACACAACACAGGUAAUAUAUUCAUUCUGAAAAAAACAACAC